rnacentral:rRNA from 1 species
UACCGGCACCCCGAGUGGUCGGGACGUUUAUUGGGCCUAAAGCAUCCGUAGCCGGUUCUACAAGUCUUCCGUUAAAUCCAACUGCUUAACAGGUGGGCUGCGGAAGAUACUAUAGAGCUAGGAGGCGGGAGAGGCAAGCGGUACUCGAUGGGUAGGGGUAAAAUCCGUUGAUCCAUUGAAGACCACCAGUGGCGAAGGCGGCUUGCCAGAACGCGCUCGACGGUAAGGGAUGAAAGCUGGGGGAGCAAACCGG